rnacentral:rRNA from 1 species
UACCAGCACCUCGAGUGGUCAGGACGUUUAUUGGGCCUAAAGCAUCCGUAGCCGGCUUUGCAAGUCUUCGGUUAAAUCCACCUGCUCAACAGAUGGGCUGCUGGAGAUACUACAAAGCUAGGGAGUGGGAGAGGCAGACGGUAUUCAGUGGGUAGGGGUAAAAUCCUCUGAUCCAUUGAGGACCACCAGUGGCGAAGGCGGUCUGCCAGAACACGUUCGACGGUGAGGGAUGAAAGCUGGGGGAGCAAACCGG